UCUCCGAUGGCUGAGAUGGUAAAGUAUCUGCCUGCAGUGCAGGAGAUGCAGGUUCGAUCCCUGGGUAGGGAA
rnacentral:tRNA from 1 species